CCUCCAGCCUUACACUAAUGUUCCUAGAAAGUCAAUGUGUUCCCUUGAAUCUGAAGUAUAGAGCAUCUUUGGAGAGGAUUCAAGAGUUGGAGGACUUCCUUGCCAAAGAAAGAGACCACUUUCGGCACACGCUGUCUGACAAGAGGGAGAUGGCAGAAAUAAGGGACCAGAUGCAGCAGCAGCUGAAUGACUAUGAGCAGCUUCUCGAUGUAAAGGUUGGCUUGGAUACGAAAAUCAGAGCUUACAGAAAACUUCUGGAGGGUGAUGAGGAGAGGAAUUUCAGUUGAGUUUAUCUCAAAGUAAGAGAUGGAGAAAAGAGGCCUCAGUUGUCAGAGGAGAAAGGAAAGUCACAGAGUUUCAGGUUUACUAUGUCAUCUCAAAUGCUUGCAGCAAACUUGAUCAUGAUUACUGAUGAAGGCACAAGAGGAAAUCAACCAUUUGAUUAAAGAUGAAUAUUUAAAAAAUUGAGUGUGGUGUGCUAAGCAAUGAGAACAAGAACCAUAGAUACAUCACCUGCCC